AUGCUCGCUUUGGCAACACAUAUACCAAAACUGGAACAAUACAGAAAAGAUUAGCGUGGCUCCUGCAUAAGGAUGACAUGCAAAUUUGUGAAGCAUUCCAUCUUUUU
rnacentral:snRNA from 1 species